CCUACGGGAGGCAGCAGUGGGGAAUAUUGCACAAUGGGCGCAAGCCUGAUGCAGCCAUGCCGCGUGUGUGAAGAAGGCCUUCGGGUUGUAAAGCACUUUCAGCGGGGAGGAAGGCGUUAAGGUUAAUAACCUUGUCGAUUGACGUUACCCGCAGAAGAAGCACCGGCUAACUCCGUGCCAGCAGCCGCGGUAAUACGGAGGGUGCAAGCGUUAAUCGGAAUUACUGGGCGUAAAGCGCACGCAGGCGGUCUGUCAAGUCGGAUGUGAAAUCCCCGGGCUCAACCUGGGAACUGCAUUCGAAACUGGCAGGCUAGAGUCUUGUAGAGGGGGGUAGAAUUCCAGGUGUAGCGGUGAAAUGCGUAGAGAUCUGGAGGAAUACCGGUGGCGAAGGUGGCCCCCUGGACAAAGACUGACGCUCAGGUGCGAAAGCGUGGGGAGCAAACAGGAUUAGAUACCCCGGUAGUC
rnacentral:rRNA from 1 species